UGCAAGUCGAGCGGUAAGGCCUUUCGGGGUACACGAGCGGCGAACGGGUGAGUAACACGUGGGUGAUCUGCCCUGCACUUCGGGAUAAGCCUGGGAAACUGGGUCUAAUACCGGAUAUGACCUCAGGUUGCAUGACUUGGGGUGGAAAGAUUUAUCGGUGCAGGAUGGGCCCGCGGCCUAUCAGCUUGUUGGUGGGGUAAUGGCCUACCAAGGCGACGACGGGUAGCCGACCUGAGAGGGUGACCGGCCACACUGGGACUGAGACACGGCCCAGACUCCUACGGGAGGCAGCAGUGGGGAAUAUUGCACAAUGGGCGAAAGCCUGAUGCAGCGACGCCGCGUGAGGGAUGACGGCCUUCGGGUUGUAAACCUCUUUCAGCAGGGACGAAGCGCAAGUGACGGUACCUGCAGAAGAAGCACCGGCUAACUACGUGCCAGCAGCCGCGGUAAUACGUAGGGUGCAAGCGUUGUCCGGAAUUACUGGGCGUAAAGAGUUCGUAGGCGGUUUGUCGCGUCGUUUGUGAAAACCAGCAGCUCAACUGCUGGCUUGCAGGCGAUACGGGCAGACUUGAGUACUGCAGGGGAGACUGGAAUUCCUGGUGUAGCGGUGAAAUGCGCAGAUAUCAGGAGGAACACCGGUGGCGAAGGCGGGUCUCUGGGCAGUAACUGACGCUGAGGAACGAAAGCGUGGGUAGCGAACAGGAUUAGAUACCCUGGUAGUCCACGCCGUAAACGGUGGGCGCUAGGUGUGGGUUCCUUCCACGGAAUCCGUGCCGUAGCUAACGCAUUAAGCGCCCCGCCUGGGGAGUACGGCCGCAAGGCUAAGACUCAAAGGAAUUGACGGGGGCCCGCACAAGCGGCGGAGCAUGUGGAUUAAUUCGAUGCAACGCGAAGAACCUUACCUGGGUUUGACAUAUACCGGAGAGCUGCACAGAUGUGGCCCCCCUUGUGGUCGGUAUACAGGUGGUGCAUGGCUGUCGUCACCUCGUGUCGUGAAAUGUUGGUUUAAGUCCCGCAUCGAGCGCAACCCCGAUUUUAUGUUGCCCGCACGUU
rnacentral:rRNA from 1 species